rnacentral:rRNA from 1 species
UGCCUCAGUAACGGCGAGUGAAGCGGCAAAAGCUCAAAUUUGAAAUCCCCCGGGAAUUGUAAUUUGAAGAGAUUUGGGUCCGGCCGGCAGGGGUUAAGUCCACUGGAAAGUGGCGCCACAGAGGGUGACAGCCCCGUGAACCCCCUCAACGCCCUCAUCCCAGAUCUCCAAGAGUCGAGUUGUUUGGGAAUGCAGCUCUAAGUGGGUGGUAAAUUCCAUCUAAAGCUAAAUACCGGCGAGAGACCGAUAGCGAACAAGUACAGUGAUGGAAAGAUGAAAAGCACUUUGAAAAGAGAGUGAAAAAGUACGUGAAAUUGUUGAAAGGGAAGGGCUUGCAAGCAGACACUUAACUGGGCCAGCAUCGGGGCGGCGGGGAGCAAAACCACCGGGGAAUGUACCUUUCGAGGAUUAUAACCCCGGCCCUUACUCCCAUACUGCCCCGAGGCCUGCAAUCUAAGGAUGCUGGCGUAAUGGUUGCAAGUCGCCCGUCUUGAAACACGGACCAAGGAGUCUAACAAUCAUGCAAGUGUUUGGGCCCAAAACCCAUACGCGCAAUGAAAGUAACCGGAGCGAACCU